CUCACAUCUUUCAUGCCCAUUGCCUCUUUUUUCCUAUACCCCAUUCCUCUUUCACAGGGCAUUAUCUUCCAAAGAGUCCUAAUGACCCAGCUCUGCCACAGCCACCAUGACAGGCGGGAGUGCCAGAAAACAGUCCCCAAAUGAAAACCAGGAUGCAGCACCGUGAAUGUGAGAACCUGAGGUCACUGACCACAAACUACAUGUUCCUCCAUCUGAUAGUACCUUAGAAUAAAAGAAACCCUUCCAGUCGUUAGUUGUAUUAUUGACUAUUCUCUGCUUGAAUACUUGGAAAGAUGGGAGAACAUUACUUUACAAUAGCGCACUCUGUUACAGGGCACAUCUAAUUGUUAGAUCAUUAUAUUGAGCAAAAUCUGCCUCCUGACUUUCUUUGGGUCUGUUUCUUUCUUUUAAACAAUGCAGAGGCAUGUGAUCUUUCUUCCUUAUGACAGAUCGAUAGAUAUGAGGACAGCUGCCAUGUCACUCUAACUCUCUGGUAGAAGCACUAUUAACACACUUCUCACUACCCUGGUGUCUUGAAUGACCUGGUUCAUCAACAUGCCUAUGAAAGUAUGGUGUCCAAAAAUGGACAUAAUACUCCAAGUGGACUCUUACUUGAGAUAACCAUAAAACACUCAACCAGGUUUAUCUCAUUGUUCCUCCCCCACUCCUCAAAAAAAUAUUUCUCUUACUUCUGGGACACAUUUAAAAUUAAUCCGUUCUCUUCACACCUAUAGCUGCUACCUCCUUUAACUAUACUAAAAUUAUCUUCUCCUCUCACAUCAUUUCCUAUUUCGAAUGCCCCUUUUAUAGCUACCCGUGGUUUUUUUCCAUCAGAUUCAAGUUUCUUGAUGUUACCAUUACCACCUGACCUCAGUCAUCAUUUUUACUGCUUCCUGAUUUUCUUGUUCUCUUUUCUCCUCCACAGCUUUUUUCCCUGUCACCUCUACUGAAUAUACUACUGAUUUCACACUGAAGUUUGUUUGAAAUAUUUAGCCCAUUUUCAUCCUCUCCCAAUUUAGAAGUCCCCUUUAUAUAACCACCUCAUGUUUAAAACUUAGAGGACACACACACACGCGCACACACACACACACACACACACAAUCUAAAUGAUAUUUUCUCCUUCAGAAUUCAUGGACAUCCUAAUUUUAGUGGUUUGAUAAUAUACCUUAAAUUAAUUCUGGGUAUUCUAUACUGGUGUCAAGGAUAACCUGUUAGAACCCAAAUCAUAUCAUACAAUGUUACAUGAAAAUAUGAAGCCAUUUAUAAUUACGUAAAACAUACAGAACUAGAAAUAGCAUGGAAAUAACACUUGAAAUAAUAUUGGUUGACAAUCAUUUCAAUGAAAGAUGCAGCAUAUCAAUCAUUCAAAUUAUGUAUAAAACUCUCAUAGAAUAUGUGCCACUCAGGAUUCACCUAUACUUAGCUUUACUUCUCAUUGUGAGGGAAGCCUACAGUUCAGGUCCUGAGCUCUGAUGAAAAUCUAUUCAUCCUUGCUUUGAAGCACAGGAUUUAGCUAAACAUUCAGCACUGAGCAUUUGCUAUGUAUAUCUGUGCAUACUUCUGGACACAAGCCAAGUUUUAAAAAAACUAAAUGGAGAUACAAAGACUGAUAUGCAUUAUUACAAUGUUUGUCUACCAGAAUUUCUUGGAUUAUAUUUAUACAUUUUUAUUGUAGGAGCUCAAAGUCCCCAUAGAUAUUAUCUUUAUAAUUCACAUAACAGACUCAUUAAGCAUGUAGAAACCAUAGGGACUAUAUUGUCUCCACUUUGAAGACCCAUCCUUGAGGUGGAGACAGCAAGGCCUUACCCCUGGGGGUCAUUACUCUUGACAGGUUGAUGGCCUGCCUUAGGCCUAGGUCAUAUAUUACCUUACUGUAACGUGUGCCAAGAAAAUAAUUCUAGCUUAAUGAUCCACUCAUGAGAUCUGGCUGACUUCCAUAUGUACAAAGUCAGCCCUAAGAUACUGCAGAGUAGGUUAUUGACUAAGAUUCUGGCUACGUAAACUCAUUGAGUUUGCUAUUGAAACAUUUCUGGAGGAAGAAUCAAACAUAGAAGCAAUAUAUGAAGACCAGUCACAUAGUAAUGACCUCUCAGGCGCCAUCCUUCCUUGAUCAUAAUAGAAGACUAAGUUGGCCAGCAUACCCUGGUAGAUUUGUUCCGUUGUCCCAAUCUGUCUCUCAGUUCCUGGCCCAGAUUCUGGUCCUGCUCUGGAUGUUCUUAACAGACAACUAGUUAGCCUGCUGCUGUCUCUCUCCUGGAAUUAAAAAAAAUAGUCAAUACAUUUGCCUUAAUAAUCUUUUUUCAUUUCACACAUCAAUGGCGUUUGCAAAUAAUUACGCUCAUCUGUGAUCAUUGAAAAACAGUCUUCCUCACCUACCCUAAUAUCACUGUGAGAAAGAUGAGCUACCUCUCUGGCAUCUUCUGCCAGGGGUUUCUCUGUCUUUCCCAAGGUCAC
rnacentral:lncRNA from 10 species